CUACCCCAUAUGAACAGAUUCACAAUCACUCGAAAAGCUUGCGAAAAAAAAGGGGACGACUGGAGAUUUGAGGCGGCGCAUCCCGAGCUAACCCUAGUUCCGUCCAUUUCUACAUCGUUUAGGCCGUUCCGAUGAUGGCACGAACAAAGGGUAGUCGGACCGAUCUCUGCUUUUAAAAAAUGCAUAUGUGGGGAUGGAAAGGGAGGCGACGACAUAGUUGAAGCGGCGAAAACUUUAAUCUGAUACUAUUUUCGAGCAUAUCAACCCUGUUUACGGAGUUCCGGUGAUGGCACGAACUAAGGCUAGUCGUACCGAUUGUGUGCGCCAUUGGUGAAUAUGAAGCCGAAGAUUUGCAUAACCGUCCUCGUGUGAGGACCAACAUUUCAAUGUGUGGGAAAGAAAAUGUGGUUUAGUGUUGGGUUUGGCAUAGACAUUACACGUAAUAAGUUUUUGGAUUUCAGUUUAUUGUGUGAAUGAAUAAAUUUCAUGGUUAGCAUGAAUUAUUUUAUUUCA